rnacentral:rRNA from 1 species
AUUGAACGCUGGCGGCAGGCCUAACACAUGCAAGUCGAGCGGUAGCACAGAGGGCUUGCUCUCGGGUGACGAGCGGCGGACGGGUGAGUAAUGUCUGGGAAACUGCCUGAUGGAGGGGGAUAACUACUGGAAACGGUAGCUAAUACCGCAUAACGUCGCAAGACCAAAGUGGGGGACCUUCGGGCCUCAUGCCAUCAGAUGUGCCCAGAUGGGAUUAGCUAGUAGGUGGGGUAACGGCUCACCUAGGCGACGAUCCCUAGCUGGUCUGAGAGGAUGACCAGCCACACUGGAACUGAGACACGGUCCAGACUCCUACGGGAGGCAGCAGUGGGGAAUAUUGCACAAUGGGCGCAAGCCUGAUGCAGCCAUGCCGCGUGUGUGAAGAAGGCCUUCGGGUUGUAAAGCACUUUCAGCGGGGAGGAAGGCGAUAAGGUUAAUAACCUUGUCGAUUGACGUUACCCGCAGAAGAAGCACCGGCUAACUCCGUGCCAGCCGCCGCAGUAACAC